UCAUCCUUAAUAACUCCAGAUAUGAUUGAGGCUUUUAACAAAAGGAAUGCUGCCUUGGAAGCCUCUGCCACGGCUCAGAAUGUGACUGCUGUGAAAAGUUGUCAGCUGAGGAAGAAAUGUGCUUUAUUAAUGAUGGGUACGUGAGGGGAUGUGCAAACUCUGCCCAGAUGGAGCUGGGAAAGGUGACAUUUUUUGGCUUUUACAGGGAGGAAGUUGCACAAGAGGCCCCAGGCAAGGCUGAAGGGAAGGACUUGGAACCAUGACCUCAAAAUCAACAGCUCUUUCCACAUCCAGUGUUGUUGGAUGCUGCAACCAACAAUCAAAUUAUUAACCCACAGCUCUGAGACUGAAAUGAGUCAAAUCAGGCCCAGUUUAUCAGGAGGAAGAUUAUAGCGAAUAAUAAAAACUCUGAAAAUGAACCUUGCAAAACAUUCCUGCUGGAAACUCCUCCCGUCAGGACGAGGCUGUGCCAAGCCCAGC